UCUUGCCCCGGCGAGCGAGAGAGUCUUGGGAAGCUGACUUGGACUAUGUCUCUAUCCUGGCAAGAGAGCAGUUUUGCCAGCAGGGAGUGAAUUCCUGGGAAAACUGCAUUUCCAGCUGCAAAUGAAUAAACUGACGAUCCUGUUGAUGAAGCAAACCCAAGCAAACAGCAAGAUGGCAAAGGGGACCCUCCCACCCUCAGCUUCUGUGGAUACUCCACUGGGCAAGACAAUGACAACCCACUCAAGCCUCAUGAGGCCACGUGAUUCAGAAUGAUCUAGACUGAAUUGUUGAUAUAGAUUCAUGAUCACCAAAGGACCUUCCCGUGGGUCACACAUCCCACUGCCACAAGGCAGAGAGUGAUUUGCCCUCCGAGUUAAGGAAGAAGAGAUCCAGGCAUAGAGGGGCUGCUCUGCUCAGGGUCGCCAGAGAGGGAAGCUGCUGAGCCGCCCCCCACCCCCCGCCCCCCCCCAUCUCAGCCUCGGGACCUAAGCUCUGUCCACAGGAGCUCGUGCAUUUCCCAAUCCCUGCUCACCAGAGCCCCGGCAGCCUCUACUAGAUGCAUGGCCACAUUCCAGACUCGCCCUUUGGGAGGGAAGUUUGUUUCUGGGAAUGCUCUCUUAAGACACUGGUGUA